AACAGGAUUAGAUACCCUGGUAGUCCACCCCGUAAACGUUGGGAACUAGUUGUGGGGUCCAUUCCACGGAUUCCGUGACGCAGCUAACGCAUUAAGUUCCCCGCCUGGGGAGUACGGCCGCAAGGCUAAAACUCAAAGGAAUUGACGGGGACCCGCACAAGCGGCGGAGCAUGCGGAUUAAUUCGAUGCAACGCGAAGAACCUUACCAAGGCUUGACAUAUACGAGAACGGGCCAGAAAUGGUCAACUCUUUGGACACUCGUAAACAGGUGGUGCAUUGUUGUCGUCAGCUCGUGUCGUGAGAUGUUGGGUUAAGUCCCGCAACGAGCGCAACCCUCGUUCUAUGUUGCCAGCACGUAAUGGUGGGAACUCAUGGGAUACUGCCGGGGUCAACUCGGAGGAAGGUGGGGAUGACGUCAAAUCAUCAUGCCCCUCAUGUCUUGGGCUUCACGCAUGCUACAAUGGCCGGUACAAAGGGCUGCAAUACCGCGAGGUGGAGCGAAUCCCAAAAAGCCGGUCCCAGUUCGGAUUGAGGUCUGCAACUCGACCUCAUGAAGUCGGAGUCGCUAGUAAUCGCAGAUCAGCAACGCUGCGGUGAAUACGUUCCCGGGUCUUGUACACACCGCCCGUCAAGUCAUGAAAGUCGGUAACACCUGAAGCCGGUGGCCUAACCCUUGUGGAGGGAGCCGUCGAAGGUGGGAUCGGUAAUUAGGACUAAGUCGUAACAAGGUAACC
rnacentral:rRNA from 1 species